rnacentral:ncRNA from 1 species
UCCCCUAAAUAGCCUCAGGUGCGUGAGGAUUGGGUGACAGACAAGUUACCUCCGGGACAACUGGCUUGUGGCUGCUAAGAGAUCAAAUCAACGCAGCUUUUUGAUUCUUCGAUGUCGGCUCUUCCUAUCCUAGUGAUGUACAAGUUGCUAAGGGUCGGAUUGUUCACCCGUAUUAGGGAUCGUGAGCUGGGUUUAGACCGUCGUGAGCCAGGUUUGUUUUAUCCUACUGGAUAUAGCAUCAUGAUAGUAGAUUGAUUUAGUACGAGAGGAACUGUUGAUUAUGGCCUCUGGUUAGCGAUUAUCGGAAACGGUAUGUCGCGCAGCUACGCCGUCUGGGAUAAUGGCUGAAAGCCUCUUAAGCCAGAAGCCCAUCUAGAAAGUGAUGCACGUGAUGUUGGACCGAUACGAAUAAUCAUACUCAAAAGGUCCGCUUCAUAGGUAACCCAAUGUAGAAGACAUUGUGUGAACGAAGGUACUGUAAGCAGUGGAGUGGCAUUACGUCCACGACCUGUUGAGGUUCAGCUUCGCUUCUAGGUUUCC